CAAUAUUUGAGAGGGCAAAUAAGUAGUUUAAGGUCGUAUUUAUGUGAGACCCAUUUCACAAACUCAAGUCUCGCAGCGAAAGAAGUCGACGACAGUUUUCUGGAUUGAUAGAGGCGAAGGACAUCUUCAAGUAUUCACUGCACAAAGUUAACGAGUCAGGAGAAGUUCCAGCCGUGGGACCGGAGAUAAAGUGCAUUGGACCAUUUUAUAUUCUCGUCCUUAUCAACAUGGACGAAUUUAAACGGUCCUGGUGUAUUUAACUAAUUCUGAACAUCUGUUCCUUUAUUUGUGAUCAUGAACUUGGCUUAACACUGAUGGUAAAGGCACUAAAAUAUACAGCCAGAAAACGGGACUAAAACCAGACCAAAGAGUCGACUAACAGAAAGAAGAAUUUGUACAAUCCCCGAAUACUCCCGAUAUUUAUUAAGGCGCAACUUUUGUUGUAACAAGAAAAGUGUAAAAUAAAUCCGGUUAAAGGUUGAUGGCCGAAUCGGAGGUGGACAGCGACUGCAGUGUUGGUGUGCGGCUCCGUUGAUAGUAAUGGACGAAAUUACCCACAAAACGUGAUUCCGAACACUAAUAGAAGGCUUAGUGGAACCG